CAACCCUCAAGCCCCCGGGCUUGGUGUUGGGGCUCGGCCCGUCCCUAGCGGAUGCGCCGUCCCCGAAAUCUAGUGGCGGUCUCGCUGUAGCCUCCUCUGCGUAGUAGCUAACACCUCGCAACGGGAACGCAGCGCGGCCACGCCGUUAAACCCCCCACUUCUGAA
rnacentral:misc_RNA from 2 species